CUCUCAACACACACACACACGCACAAAGGUUUUCUCCGAAGUCUUUCCCCUCCCUCCAUCUGGCGAUCCGUCACCCCUCCUCCAGCCGCUGAUGGUCCUGCUGUAGGCAGUCUGCUCGUUCUCUUCAGUGUGAGGACAGCACACACUCCUUCACAACCAGCCUCUGUCUCUCACAUACACUCCUGUCUCAAACUAUUCUGACAAUAUGUUUAAAACUGGAUAUACCCCAAGCAGCACACCCUCCUGGAGCAUUUGAACUAUUUGAGCACUCGAUUCAGAAGAAGGAAGAUCAAUCAGCAGUAAGGUAUGAGUUGUGCUUGAAUAAGCCAACAAGGAGGGGUUUCUUCCUCUUGACACUGAAAACUACUGAAGUUUGGGGCAUCCACGAUGAGUCUUAAGAAGAGGAAACCAAGCAUGGUGUUCAGCUGGCAAAAGUCUUUCACCAUCCUUGCCCCGUGGAGAAAAGGUGAACCAAGCCAAUCAGUCCAACCCACUGGGCUCUGGACUGGGGUACCUAGAGCACAUCUGCCAACUCAUAGAGAAGAUCGGACAGCUACAGAAACACAACCUUCGACUACAGAAACAGAUCUGUGGCCUGCAGAAGGAAGGCCGAGUGAUCAAGACUAAAGAGGACUUUUUUAUGCACCACUGUAGCUGUGGAGCAGCCAACUUGGCCUUCCAAGAGCUCAAGAGACACUUUCGCAGUGACCACUACAGCCUGACGGCAUCAAGCAGCACACUGUCUGACCUCAGCACAAUCCCUGAGGUCACACGUAUCCCGCUCAGGGCAGCCAUGAGAGAUGGUGACAUGGGCUGCCAACCUGCUCUUCCUGUUUGGAGGAGGGGUCUGAAUCGGAGGAGCUACACAGAGGGAGAGGCAAAGUACCUGAGUGACAGCGCUGAGGUCCUCUCUGCUCCGCACAGACGGUUGAGUGAGAACUAUACAUGGGGAAGAGUGAAGGAACUGGUGAAGAAGACCAAACUGAGGAACCAGAGCCAGCUGGGACUGUCUUCAGGCUCCCUGAAGAGAUCAUGUCCACAGCUUUACCGCCCAGAUUUGAUGUCAGCAGAACGGCCGAGGACAAACAGAAACUCCAUGAUCGCUCUGGGCCAUCAGAAACGGGACUAUCUGUGGCCACAGUAGUAUUAAACAGACACUGAGUAGAUGGACUGCGAUGGGGCAACUUUUCCAAAAAGCAAAGGACAAAGUGGUGGUUUUUGCAAUUUGCAGAUGGUUUUUCCAGACUGAGGAACAAGAUGGGAGAGAAAUUCACAAGAAAACAAUGAACGGGAUUUGAAUAACGAUAGAAAAAUGUUGGUGUCAUGUGUAUAUAAUACUAAGAGAGAUGAUUAUAUGUUGAUGAAAGUGUUAAGUUGACCUGUUGAUGGAGCUUGUUUGUGUGUCAUGACAUUCCUAUAAAUGUCAUUAAUUCAGAUAAAGCACUCAUUAGAUUUGUCAGCUAAUGAGGUACUAUUAAAGACGAUAUAUACGUGGAAAAAUUAUUUACAGAAUGUGAUCAGACAAAGGGAAUUACAGUAAAUCCUUAUGUAUAGUCUAAUGUAAAUUUCUACCAGGACAAUUUACCAGACACUGUCCUGUUUGUAAAACACUUGAAAUACAUCCAAAUGAUAACAAAUGUUGAACAAGCAUGCUAUAACUUUAUAUAGAUCAUUUUGUAACACUAUUAUAAGAACUGCCAUGUGUAAGUGUGUAUAUACAGACAGAACAAAUAUGCAUGUGCAUAUGAGAGUGGAUAAGAGGCGCUCCCACGUCUGAAUUCCUGUAUCUACAGACAUAUAUAUCACUGUGAUGAUGGGGCUUAUGAUAACAUGUAAAUGACUUAUGGCAGUUCUGUAUGCAGCUCACCUGUCUGAUGUUAUAUAAAGUGUGUGACCUUUCUUUUCCCUAAAAGUUAAGCAAUGCCUUCCUUAAAAUAUCAUCCUUAAAUAUGAAUUAAAAAGGGCUUCCUACGUGCCUGCCAAAUAUCAGCCCAAAGACAUAAACGCUGUUAUGAAUAAAAGGCAGUAUAAAGUGGUCAUAACACUUUACUAAACUUAUAAAUGCACCUCAGGGAGAACGCGCAAAUAAAAAAAAGAAGUUAUGAAUUGACCCUUUUGAAUUAAUAAGGUGUUUAAUUCAGGCUAUUACUAAUAAACACUACACUCUAAAACUACACUGUUUGACCGCUGGGUCAAAACAACCCAAUAGCUGGGUUUGUCCCUUUUUAACCCAGCACUGGGUUAUAUUUAACCCAGCAUUUUUAGCGUGUACUGUUAAUCCACAGUGAAAACAGUCAGAUCUCCUUGACAACAUUAAGUUAAGCUCAGAAAGUGAGCA
ensembl:lncRNA uncharacterized LOC107589555